GGAGUACCUUAGUGCCGCCCUUACUUUUAUUAAUUAUAGCAAUAUGUGUUAUGACUUUUUGUAAUAUUUUUACAUGUGUUUAUGUUAUACGUUUGAGACGAGAAGUUGAAUGGGUAAUAGUUCAACGAAUGAGAUGAAAUUGUCUUUGAUAUAUA